rnacentral:lncRNA from 1 species
AUUCCGGAAUCGUGAGGCCCUGUAACAAACUGUCGAGUCUCUAGUGCUAUGCUUUGACUCAUUGACAAGUAAGGCAUCAGCAGACAUAGUCGACCAUUAGUAUUGGCGCUUUAGGUCUCGGUACAUCUUGGUAACCCUGAGGUGGACGGACAGUUUAGAGACAUUGACAGCCUUGAGAACAUUUGUCUUGACAAUGACAAUGACUCAAAUACGAUCGUGAAAUUUGCAUAGCCCAUCAUCAGUAAGUCUGAAAUCAGGAAACUCAUCAAAGGUGAACUUACUCAAAUUUUUGGUGAUUUCCUGGUCUGUGGACUAAGCUUCCCAAAUCUUCAUAAAAAGAUCAGACAAAACUCGAACAUGAGCGAGAUAGACACCAUUGCCAUAGUGGUUGAGGCAGAGUGCCUGCAUAGCAUCUUAUAACUUCUAACUAGAUGCCAUGGUUUAGGUCAAUACAACAGACUCUGUAACAGCCCCGGAAAUUCAUAAUGGAAUGUAUAUUAAAAAUAUCAAAUGUGGAAGCGAAGUCAAAAAUUCGAUUAACAUCCCUUAUACUAAAACAAAAAACGUGCUCACAAUAUAAAAGAUCAAACUACCUAAAGGAGAAACUUGAAAGUAAAAGCUACAAAUAUGGCUAUGGAGUCUUUAGGCGUCCCCUUCGUCAUCCUCCUGCAGAACUGGCUCGGGAACAAGGUCUUCCUGAUCUGAAAUGAUUAAAUAAGGAAUGAGCUACACUAGCCCAGUA